GCUCUUAGAGAAACAAACAUAGAACUCAUCCUAGGUGCUCCAAAUGAGGACCUUCAAUAUUUUGUCGUUGCCUCAACUACAAAUGAGUGGGUUCAAAAGAACAUAGGAGCCUUCUUACCCGCCAUUAAGUUUCGAUACAUUGUUGUCGGAAAUGAAGUGAAGCCGACUGAUGCAGCAACACUAUAUUUCUCCCUGCAAUGCAAAACAUUUACAAUGCUUCGGUGUUUGUAAUCUUAGAUUAAAUUAAGGUUUCUACAUCAGUUGAUACAUCUUUGUUGGGAAAUUCGAAUCCUUCUUCAGCUGGAUCUUUUAGUUCUAAUGCAACAACUUACAUUGCACCAAUCAUCAGUUUCUUGGCAAGCACUGGGACACCUCUUCUGGCAAAUAUUUACCCUUACUUUGCCUACAUCAGUGACCCGAAAACCAUCGACCUUAACUAUGAUUUGCAUACGGCUCAAGCAACCGUAGUACGAGAUGGCACAUUGGAGUAUCGAAACCUUUUCGAUGCCACAUAGGAUGCCUUGUAAUCUGCUGUUGAGAAUGCCAGGAGUGUCAAUACGGAGAUUGUUGUAUCGGAGGCAGGUUGGGCAUCUGUCGUAGUGCUAAAUGUUAGUUUAAAGAUUGGUUGAGGUUGUUAGUUUGUUGUCAAAAUUUGUUAAUUAGUUGGUUAGGAGCAGUUACCUUCAUUUGGGUAUAUAAAAUUUAUCAGUGUAUUCACUCAAGAUAAGAAGCAUUCAAUAGAAAAUUACUCUGUUGUUUUCCUGGUUUUUCUCUAUCAAUAUAUUCAUUCAUGUAUGAUAUCUAAUAUAGUAUCAGUCGCCUAACCUCCUGGGGUCUUCAUCCGCUGCUGCUCCAUGGCUAAUUCACAAGAUUCCACGUCUGUUGAUCGUUCUACUCCAUCUUUUUCCAGCUCAUGGUUGAUUCAAGCUUUCCCUCAUCACGACAUAGUAAAAUUAGAUGAGAAGAAUUUUGUGCUUUGGCAGCAACAUAUCUGAUUAAUCACAGAAGGAUAUGAGCUGCAAGGAUUUUUAGAUGGUACACUACCUGCUCCACCUAGGUUCGUUGCAUCUUCAGAUGGUGUUCUGACUCCAAACCCAGAAGCAUUCGUCUUUUUUCAACAAUAAGCUUUUAACCUCUUGGUUGCUAUAUACUAUUAGUGCAUCUUUACUGUCUUCUUUUACAGCCGCUAAAACGGCAUAUGACAUCUAGAGUAUUGCCAACCGACUGUUUGCUGCCUCUACCGGUGUUAAAAUUUCCCGAGUCAAACAUGAGUUGCAGCCCCUCAAAAAAGGUGUGUUGACUAUUACCGAAUAUGUAGCCAAGGUUCAGAACAUUUGUACUCUACUUGAGGCGUCUGGUUCUGUCGUUUCAGAGGCCGAAAAGGUAGAAGUAAUUCUCACUAGUCUUUCGUCGGAGUUCGAUGUCGUGUUAACUCUCGCAUCAUUUUCGUCGGAGACCCUCCCAUUUCAAAAGUUGAUUGAUGCGUUGAUGGAGUUAGAGAGUCGCCAGACACAAACAGUGAAAGAAGUGCCGAUGCUUACGAACGUGGCUGAAGCGUCUCCAGCUGUGGCAGUGACCGAAUCAGAUUGUCGUUCUUGGCGUGAUGGUCAUCUUGCACAAAGAUGUUUCUAUCGAUUCAACCGUGACUAUGGUGGCUCGAGAGAACCAAGUCCGGUUCGAUUUUCUGGCCAAAGUCUGCCUAGCAAUUUUGCUAAUCGAUCUACUAUUUUUGAUGGACAUGGGCGGCAUCUGGAGACUGUUUCAAUUUCGUGGGAAGGCUGGCCGUCGUCUUCAACGUUUGGGUCUAGUUAUUCAAAUGGUAGGGAUUCUAAUAUUUUUUAUGAUGGUUUUGCUAGGUAUUCUGAUGUCCCACAUAUGCUGUAUGGUUAGUAUGACAGACCGCAAAAUGAACCUGCGUUUAGGAGUAAUUGGGGCCAUGGUUUUGGGCGCGGUAUGGAGCGAGAUUUGGGGCGCCAUUUUGGGCGAUAUAUGGGCCAACAACAAUUUGGACCAAAUGCUGAUGUGUCUAAGCCACCUAUUC
rnacentral:lncRNA from 1 species